rnacentral:rRNA from 1 species
UACGUAGGGUGCAAGCGUUAAUCGGAAUUACUGGGCGUAAAGCGUGCGCAGGCGGUUGUGCAAGUCAGAUGUGAAAUCCCCGGGCUUAACCUGGGAACUGCAUUUGUGACUGCACAGCUAGAGUACGGCAGAGGGGGAUGGAAUUCCGCGUGUAGCAGUGAAAUGCGUAGAUAUGCGGAGGAACACCGAUGGCGAAGGCAGUCCCCUGGGCCUGUACUGACGCUCAUGCACGAAAGCGUGGGGAGCGAACAGG